AUCGCUUCUCGGCCUUUGGCUAAGAUCAAGUGUAGUAUCUGUUCUUAUCAGAAAUGGUAAGGGCUACACAGUGGCAUAGCAGGCAAUAUACCAGUUCAGGUCCCGGCUGCUCCCCUUCCGAUCCCCCCCGUGGUAACGGCCUGUGAAAGCAGCGGAGGACGGCCUAAGGCCU
ensembl:snRNA U2 U2 spliceosomal RNA